AAAUAAAAAUUAUUUUGUCGAAUUGGAUGUCUAUUUUUUAUCAAUUAGUUAGGAAUUAGUAUAUGUUAGAGUAUAGUUUUUUGUAAUAUUUUAUUUUAUAGUAGGAAGGCAACAAAUGAGAGUCUAUACUUGGACAUAAUUUCUUCCUUAUUAGUCUAGAAAGCAACAAUAGCAUCUAAACAACAAUAGUUUGUAGUGGCAUGCAGUGUCAUAUCGAAUCCUAAGUAAAGGACUUAAGAUUUUUUUCAUUAUAAGUACUUAGCCAUAACUGGCUAUAUUGAUGGUUGCAUAGUCCCCUACCUAUAGUUAAUCAUGGCCCGUACAUGUAUGCUCUAGAGCAGUUUAGAGGAGAAUAGAGAGGGAGCUUUUCUCCAAACUAUUAUUUUUUAAUAAUUUCAUCUAUAUAACAAUAAAAUCUAAAUAGUCUUUCUCUAGUUUUUUCAUAGAGACUCCACAACUCCCUCUCCUUUUCAAGCAUCCCUUAGCCCUAGCCUCAUUGCUAUUUUUUUUUGGCCGAGAAGCCUUCUCUCCCUGUGCCCUUCUCUGUUCUUCCCCUCGCCCCUAUUCUCUCCCC
rnacentral:lncRNA from 1 species